GUCACUUGGUCAUAUACUCAUACACAUGACUCGAACCACUUCAUCUCUUUCAACUUAAACCACUUCUCUCUUUCCAUUUUCCUCAUCUCUACAGAAGCGAAGUAAAGUUUGGGUUUCAGUUUGAGGGUUUGAAGGUUUCGAUGUAAAGCUGAAGAUAAGAAAAUUUAGGGUUUCAGGAUGCAAGUGAAGUUUGGGUUUCAGUUUGAAGGUUUGACGGUUUAGAUCUGAAGCUGAAGAUCUAUGCUCUAACCAAAUAUAAUCUCUCGACAGGAAUUCUAUAUCAAAUCAAUUCCUACAAUCAGAAUCUUAAACACAGGUGGAACAUCGUUGCAAAAUUUGAUUGAGACCUCAAGCGAAGAAUUUGCAAGGGUGGUUUAUCUGAGCAAAACGAUGUUUACAAGCUUUGAAUACAAAAAACAAUGUGCACGAGACAGUAAUAACUUGUGGGAAAUUGAUUGAUUAGUGUUGUUCAUAUCCUAAAUCAGGAGCAAUUACAAUAACCAACUGAGAAAACAGAAGCUCGGAGAGGGACUGAUGAGAAGGUAAAAGAGGGUAAAGAACAGGUGAUCAGAGCCAAUGCAUACUUGAGUUUUGCACCACCAGAUAGCAACUCCACUUGGUAAAAGAGGUAAACUUGAGGAUAAAAGAUCUAGAGCGGUUGCCGGGGGAUGCGACAAAGGAUGCAAAUUUACCGAUAAGGUAUACCUCAAUUAAAUAGUUAAAUUCUCCUUUCCCUUUGAAAACUAAGUGCAGAACAUUGAAGUUAAGCUGACUAGUUGUGGGGAAAAGGUGAUAGCAUGAAUAAAAUACAGUGUAGUGCUUUGCAGAGGAUGAAAUUAAUAGAAGCUACUCUGGGUAAAGCCAGGCGUGUUUACCACGAUUGCUCUUCCAUGGCAACCAAGAUAUGAGCUAUGACGUACAAUACUGAAGAACAAAUUCGGGAUCAAAAGAAUCAAGCUAUAUAUCUUGUUGAGCUUGCUUCCAGUACUACAUCGAAAGGUCUUCGUUUCCUUUCCAUGAGGCUCACUGAUAGUUAUUUCUCAUUGCAUCCUGAAAAGCGGGAGUUCCUAAACCAACACAAAUUAAAUGACCCCGACCUCUAUCACUUUUGUUGUCUUUUCCGACAACAUUCUUUCAAGUGCAGUGGUUGUUAAUUCUGCCAUCUUUUCUUCUCCGGUUUGAUGAAGGAUCUGUGGGAUGGAUGGAAUGUGAUGAUGUUUGAUACUGCUUCAUUCUUGGAAGAGAUGUCUCUUGCAAGAGCAAUGGGCAUUGAAGUUACUGCAUAGCUUCUGCGGUAUUGGAUUCCACCAGCUUCACUAAUUCUGCUUCAAAUGUGAAGGCAACUACUGAUUAUGUGAGUCCCCUUUCUGUUGGUUUAUUAUUGUCUCAUAUACCCUAGCAAUAAAACUUAGGAAUCAUGCAAUAGAAUAAAACUUAGGGAUUGUCUUUUAAGUUCUGAACCAAUUCGAAUGUAGAAAGAACAAAAGUUAUUGUUGAUUAAGGUAGUCAUUGUUGAAUAUGUGAUUGAAUCUAUGAGAUGGAUGGAAUGAAAGAUUUGCAGGUUAUUUUGAAUUCCGGUGUAUUUCCGGCUGAAUGUGUGCUGAGGGAAUAUUUGACUGGCAGUAAUUUUUUUUUGAUGUCACUAAAAAAUUCAUAACGGUUGCAAACUGUUUCAACCUAUCCUGUAGUAACAACUUUAAGCUGUUUCAAAAUGAUACGUAGAACGGGUGAGCUCUGUUACGACGUCAUUGUUACAAACUUUUGUAACAGGGUUAAGAUGUUACGAAAUUCCACUUAGUAACAGCCGGCAUCUAUUACAACAACUGUGACAAUCCAAAAUUCGUAACAGCUACAGC